CUCAAGUAGGCGCGUCUGCGAGAAGGCUCUGGGACGACGUGCCGUGCUGUGGACACGCGUGUCGAGACUCCAAAUUCAGCGCGUAAACUACGGUUAAAGAAUUCAUCAUAGAGGGAGGUGUCUUCCCGUUGGUGUGAGGAAAGUUCCAGUUUAGUUGGGCUUAGCCACUGGAGAAGCGUUUAUUCGCUAUGAAGCACGUGAAGUCACUGCUGUUGCUAGCGCUGCUGCUUCCUGCCCUGCACAACGUGGAUUCACGAGAGGGUCAUCACUUGGAGAGGGCGAAGAGGCAGACGCCGAACGGUAACAGAGCGCAGCUCAUUGACAACAUAUUUCAG